rnacentral:rRNA from 1 species
GAGUUUGAUCCUGGCUCAGAAUGAACUGCUGGCGGCAUGCCUAACACAUGCAAGUCUGAACUGAAGGCUUCGGCCUUAGUGGCGCACUGGGUGCUGUAACUGCGUGGGAAUCUGCCCUCAGGUUCGGAAUAACAGCGAGAAAUUGCUUGCUAAUACCUGGAUGAUAUCGCGAGAUCAAAGAUUUAUCGCCUGAGGAUGAGCCCGCGUAGGAUUAGCUAGUUGGUGUGGUAAAGGCGCACCAAGGCGACGAUCCUUAGCUGGUCUGAGAGGAUGAUCAGCCACACUGGGACUGAGACACGGCCCAGACUCCUACGGGAGGCAGCAGUGGGGAAUAUUGGACAAUGGGCGAAAGCCUGAUCCAGCAAUGCCGCGUGAGUGAUGAAGGCCUUAGGGUUGUAAAGCUCUUUUACCCGGGAUGAUAAUGACAGUACCGGGAGAAUAAGCUCCGGCUAACUCCGUGCCAGCAGCCGCGGUAAUACGGAGGGAGCUAGCGUUAUUCGGAAUUACUGGGCGUAAAGCGCACGUAGGCGGCUUUGUAAGUUAGAGGUGAAAGCCUGGAGCUCAACUCCAGAAUUGCCUUUAAGACUGCAUCGCUUGAAUCCAGGAGAGGUGAGUGGAAUUCCGAGUGUAGAGGUGAAAUUCGUAGAUAUUCGGAAGAACACCAGUGGCGAAGGCGGCUCCCUGGACUGGUAUUGACGCUGAGGUGCGAAAGCAGUGGGGAGCAAACAGGAUUAGAUACCCUGGUAGUC